rnacentral:rRNA from 1 species
AUUGAACGCUGGCGGCAUGCCUUACACAUGCAAGUCGAACGGCAGCACGGGUGCUUGCACCUGGUGGCGAGUGGCGAACGGGUGAGUAAUACAUCGGAACAUGUCCUGUAGUGGGGGAUAGCCCGGCGAAAGCCGGAUUAAUACCGCAUACGAUCUACGGAUGAAAGCGGGGGACCUUCGGGCCUCGCGCUUUCGGGUUGGCCGAUGGCUGAUUAGCUAGUUGGUGGGGUAAAGGCCUACCAAGGCGACGAUCAGUAGCUGGUCUGAGAGGACGACCAGCCACACUGGGACUGAGACACGGCCCAGACUCCUACGGGAGGCAGCAGUGGGGAAUUUUGGACAAUGGGCGAAAGCCUGAUCCAGCAAUGCCGCGUGUGUGAAGAAGGCCUUCGGGUUGUAAAGCACUUUUGUCCGGAAAGAAAUCCUUGGCUCUAAUACAGUCGGGGGAUGACGGUACCGGAAGAAUAAGCACCGGCUAACUACGUG